CCUACGGGAGGCAGCAGUGGGGGAUAUUGCACAAUGGGGGGAACCCUGAUGCAGCGACGCCGCGUGGGUGAAGGAGCGGUUAGGCGCGUAAAGCCAUAACGGCAGGGAGGAAGGAGGACGGUACCUGACUAAGAAGCCCCGGCUAACUACGUGCCAGAAGCCACGGUAAUACGUAGGUGGCAAGCGUUGUCCGGAAUUACUGGGUGUAAAGGGAGCGUAGGCGGGAAGCCAAGUCAGCUGUGAAAACUACUGGCGUAACUUGUAGACUGCAGUUGAAACUGGUUUUCUUGAGUGAAGUAGAGGUUGGCGGAAUUCCGAGUGUAUCGGUGAAAUGCGUAGAUAUUCGGAGGAACACCGGUGGCGAAGGCGGCCAACUGGGCUUUAACUGACGCUGAGGCUCGAAAGUGUGGGGAGCAAACAGGAUUAGAUACCCGUGUAGUC
rnacentral:rRNA from 1 species